CUUAGGCAACAGCCUAAAGAACCAGGAAGCAAAACUCUGUUUGUUCCCAAGCACCUUCUAGGACAAGCCUGUGUUCCACACCUAGCAGCUCAACAAAGGGGAAGUAAGCAGCCCCAGGCCUGGGACUUGAAGAAUGACUGAAGUUGAGCCUGUGUGGCCUGGAUGACGUACAAACGGGAAGCAGAGUGGACACCAGGUGAGCCACUGAGGGCCUCCCACCCCUGGCUGGGAGGCUCCUGGAGUUCAAGGACUCUCACGCAGGGUGUCCCCACUUUGUCUUCUACAGCAUGAGGGCUGCCACGAAAAGCCCAAAGCCAUG
rnacentral:lncRNA from 1 species